rnacentral:rRNA from 1 species
CGGGGAAUUUUCCGCAAUGGGCGCAAGCCUGACGGAGCAACGCCGCGUGAGGGAUGAAGGCCUCUGGGCUGUAAACCUCUUUUAUCAAGGAAGAAGAUCUGACGGUACUUGAUGAAUAAGCCACGGCUAAUUCCGUG